ensembl:lncRNA
CCUUUUAAGAAUGUUCUGGUACAUAUUAGCAAAAAUUUGGGGGAAGGGAGCCUGAAAAGUCUUUCAGUGUGUGUAUUUCCUUCACAAGGAAAUCCAUGUGCUUUCAGAAGAAGCUGGGUCCUGGAAAGGGGCCAGUUAGAGUAAGUGCCUAAGAAGGCAAGUAAAACAUGAAAGAAGAGACUUCCUGAGUCCAAAUUUAAGACAGAUCAUUAUUACCGUUAAUAUUUUCAUUAAUGCUGUUUAUGUGUUUUUGAAGAAGUAUGAAUUGUGGUUGGUUUAGAGGUUGAAUUUUAUUUAAGAGGUAACUGUGAAGAUGUUUCAAACUGGAGAACAAUAUCCCUUUUGGUAGUUAUUAAACUGUUGGCUUUGGGAAAAUGUUCAGAGUUCAGAUGAUUGGCGUGAAGGUUUGGCUCCAGGGCUGUCCCCAGGCAGAUGCCCACACCUACCAGCCUUGCCUGGGCCCCCCUGGGUUCUCCAGAGAGUCUGUGACUCCCUUUCUUUGUGGGCACGUCCUCAGUGCUCAGCAAACCCAUCGAGCACUGGGUGUCAUUCAUCUACUUUUUGUGUUCAGGGACAUUUCACAUCACUGGCCACAUCUGAUGUUCAGUCUGUGUUAGGAAAAGAUGGGUAGAUUUAUGAUUUACACUAUAAUGCUGCUUGAAGAUUUUUGCUGUUUUUAAACUUCCCCACCUUUCGCUUUUGUAAAAUGGCUCUCUCACCCCCAAGGCAUGCUAAAUGAAUAUGCUUAUAAAAGUGGUAUUUCGUGAUUACCAGGGGCUAGCGAGAGAAUGCGGAGUUAUUGGUGAAUAGUACAGAGUUUCCAUUUGGGAUGACAAAGAAGUUCUGGAGAUGGCUAGUAGUGAUGUUUACACAACACCAUGAGUGAACUAAAUGUCAAUGAGUUGUACACUUAAAAAUGGCUAAAAUCGUAAAUAUUAUGUAUCUUUUACCAUGACAAAAAAAGUGCUAGUUCAACAUCAGGUUUCAUCAGUUAAUAUAGACACAAUAUUUUCCAGUCAGAGAGCAUUAGGUGGCCCAAGCGGUUUUGUUUUUUGUUUUUUCCUUUUGGCCCCAGCAUGCAGCAGCUUGAUGUGGGAUCUCAGUUCCUAGGCCAAGGACUGAACCCAGAACAUAGUGGUGAAAGUGCUGAGUCCUAACCACUAGACCACUAGGGAACUCCCAGGUGACCCACGUUUUAAUGGUCUGCCAUGUGGGCAUAGAAACUUGUGGUAAAAGUUCUGUCUCCCCCUGGUAUCAAGGACCCUAUAGAAGUGACCAGAAUGCUGCGCUUCCUCAUUAGCGUAUGAAUUCAUUGCAUAGAAUCAGAUGGUUUGAAAGUACUUGAAGGUUUGCCAUUUUUUGAAACUCUAAGCACCCUCUUUUCAUUGUUGUCACUUAAAGGUUGGAUUCUCACUAAUGGCUUAGUUAUCAAGAGAAGGAUGGGUGUAAAAGGCACAUCUUCCCUCUUCUAGUGAGUCACUUCUCAAACUCCAAUCCCAGUCAAUGGAAGGUUUUGACUGGCACAGUCCCAUCUCAGGAUUUGAUUGGAACACUUAUAUUUUAAAGGUAAAUUAAAUCUCCUAGGGAAAAACAAAACAAAACAUUAAAAUGCUUUUGAAGUUCCAAUGCUUGAAUAAUAUUGGCAAAAUUAUUUCCUAACACAGGAAUGGAUUUUUUUUUAUCUUUCAGAGGCGGGUGACUAGACUAAAGAUGGGGAAAGAGGUCUUUGUGUUUUGGGGGGAGAAUUAGUGCUAUAAUAAUCACAGUUGCAUUUGUCAAGCAUUCUUCCCAUUUUUUCCUUGAAACAACCCUGUGAGGUAGAGGGUGGUUAAGGGAAUAUUAUUAUUGCCAUUUUACAGAUUUUGAAAAUGAGAUACAGAAAGGAUGAGUGACACACAGCUAGGUAUGGAAAAAUACAGUCCUAAAACCUGUGUCUUGUGACUCUGAUCCAAUCGUGGUUCCACAGCUGUAGCCCAGAUUCUGGGGAUCAUGCAGUCCAUGGUGGGGACAGGGACACAGUCCCACCAGACAUACGGCUCCAGUGACUUUGACAACGGCAGAUGUGGAGCUCAGUGAAUUCAUCAUUAAGUUCCUCUGAAGAUCUUCUCAGGACCUCCCAUCCUGUCUAUUGAGCAGCCCCCACCCAUCCAUCUAUCCUUCCAGAAUGGAAGAGGCAGAUAGGAGGUAUUCAUUUGGGGGAGGGCCAUGAGUCACUGGCCUCUGGAUUCCAGAGACUCCUCUUAAAGUCUAAAUUGACAACUGAGUACAGCCAUUUUUUUGUCCAGAUAGCUGAGGAGAUGCUACAAUAAAAUCACUUCUCUAAAGAUAAAUUUGGUUGUCAUGUUGAAUUAUUAUCCAGUUAAUUUUAGCUACACAGAUACCGGAUUUGCAUAACAAUUUAUUUAUUUAUUUUUAAUUUUUUGCGUAACAAUUUAAAAACAUGUUUCCAAUUCCCUUUCCUCAAAGAAUUUAUUUAGUUAUGUAAAAAUGCAAAAGAUUAGUACAAUCACCUUAAUAGUAUGGUUAAUGGAUCUCUGCCAUGACGGGCUGUCAUAACUUAAGAAUGCUUCACCAGCUUCCCAAACUAAGUUUUACAGACUCAGUUUCCCUUUUUAUUGUACUAAAAAAAGAAAUCCUAAUCUGAGAAGCCUGAAAAGAAAUUUCCCCUAGCUGUUAUUCUCCAUUGCUAUUUCCAGUGACCAAGAGAAUAAAAAGUAUUGUAGGAAAAAUCCCACCCAGAAAGAUCCCACUCAGGUCACAAUUCACAUUCUCUUUCUGAAGAUGCCCAACUGUGACAAGUAAAGGCUAAUUCAAAGACAGAUCUUUGGGGCACCCUCUGGUGGCUGAGAAGUCACCAGCCCCAGAAGGCCAGUGAUCUCUGAGGCUUUUUAAAAUGGCCAUCACUAAAUUUUCCAUUCAACACUGAAAAUGUAUCCAGAUCAGGAAAGCAGGAGGGAGUGGAAAGAAUCUGAAGUCACAAGACUUGGACUUGAGUCAGAGCACUGUCAUUUACCAGCUAUGUGAACCUGUGUCUGGCUGGCCAGUUUCCACAGAGCAGAGGUUGAACCUGAAAUUUCUCACUGAACAGAAGAGGCAAAGUCAAAACUAGAAGGGUGUAUGAUUCCAUUUAUCUGAUCGGACCAGAAAAGGCAACCAUAUAGACAGAAAGUAGAUUAGUGGUUGCCUGGGAUUGGGGAUGGGAAUUGGGAUUAAAUGUAAAUAGAUACAGAAGAUCUUUUGGGGGUGAUUAAAAUGUCCUGAAACUGAAUUGUGGUGAUGGUUACACAAUACAGUAAAUUUACUAAACAUCAUGCAAGGUACAUUGAAAAUGAGUGAAUUUUAUGGUAUAUAAAUUAUACCUCAAGAAAGGUGUUUGUUUAAAAAAAAAAAAACCAGACAAGGGAAGAGCUAAGUGGAUGACUCGUAAAUCCAUGUACAGAGCUAGAAAGCCUUGUAACUAGAUGGGAGGAAAGGGGAAAGGUAGGGUAGGAUGGGAGUGAGCAGGAAAAAUGCCUAGGACAGCUGCUGCGAGUUAGAACUCUAUUUUGUCCACUUCCCAUUGUCCAUACCUCGUGCCUGAGAUGCGCAGGUUAGAGGCCAUAAGGGGACCGUCUCUCGGCUCAGUUUCCUAUUGCAGGUAGAGGCAGGGCUUCCACCGACCUGAAACAGAAAGUCUGACCAUUCAGGGGCAUUGCUGAUGGAAGAAGGCUAUUAAAGCAGCCAACUUGAUGCAGUGGCCUCAAAAUGACCAUUUUUGAAAUGUAAAAAGUGUAUUCUUCAUAGUUUUUCUCAUAACAGGUAAUUGGGGAACAAGAUGAGAUUAAGGACUGGGCUGCAGAGAGAAUGUUUAUUUUUUACAUUAUUUUACUAAUAGAAAACUUGAAAGUGUGAGAAUUUAUAAAAGUGCUAAGAAGAAAGUUCAGGAGAAUAUCUGAAGCUGGGUAGAGAGAAGCCUAUUAAGAAUUCUAAAAGGGACAACGAAUUAAUUUGGCUAAUUUGUUUAAAUAUUUUUAAAAUUAUUUAAAACAUUUUUGUUUAAAAUAAUAAUUGUGUGCGUGUGUGAGGGACAUGAUGUGCUGCCCAGAUGCCCUCUCAGAAAAGGACCUGUUGCUGUCAGCUUGUUCGGGAAUUGCCCCAGCUGCACAGCCACCUCUCCCAAUGUCCUCUCCUCCUGAGGAGGGUGGGGAACUUCCUGUUGGAGGCAGGGGUACAAGGCCAGUCAUCUUAGAUCAACGGAGAACAACUCUGAUGGGCUCGUUUCACCCCAGAGUUCCCUGUCGGAUCUGUUUCACCCCAGAGUUCCCUGUCGGAUCAGCCAAGAUCACAACACAACUUGACUUCUCUCU